GUUUUUGAAGUGUGUGUAGCUGUAAGGAACUAAAUAUAUAGGAAGCUGCUUUACUCACAAGCAUGAACAACACUUGACACAGGAAUCUCUUAGAGUAACAUGUACUUUUAUUCACAAGUUGUUUGUGUAUCUGUCUUUGGCUUCUUCCUGCAGAUAUCAGAGGUAGAGAGCAUGAGGACACUGAAAAAUGUAGCUGUAAAAAGAGGAGGAUCUGUCACUAUUCCAUGUCUUUAUGAUGAGAAGUACAAAGCAAACAAAAAAUUCUGGUGCAAAGGGAACUAUUGGUCUACCUGCAGUAUCGUAGCCUAUGCAAACUCAAGUGGAAAUCCAUCAGUCAUUGAUUAUCCAGAGCAGAAUUUGUUGACAGUGGAUCUGAAUUCUGUCUCUGAGUCUGGAAGGCGUUGGUGUGCUGCAGAAAUUGGGGAUAAAUGGCAAAAGGAUGACCGUGAUUAUUUGUACCUGGCGAUCAGUCAAGAUCCUGAUCUGUCAGUGAGCGAGAGCAGAGUGAGCUGUGAAGAAGGAGGCAGCGUCACAGUCCAGUGUCUCUACAGUGCUGCGUAUCAGAAUAAACAGAAGCAGUGGUGCAGAUUUAAAGAUGGACAAUGCAACACACUUAGGACUGAAACAUCCCAGAAUUCAGCAGUGUACAUCAGUGAUGAUGGGAGAAGAUCCUUCAGAGUGAAGAUGAGCAGACUGAAGAAGAGUGAUGCUGGAUGGUACUGGUGCAGUGCAGGAGAUCUACAGGUUCCUGUUCAAAUCAGUGUCGGUGUUGACACUUCAGAGAGCCAGAGAUGUUCUGUAUCGCAGACAACUGAAGGACAUGAUCUUGCUGACAUAGAGAACAUAAGAAGCUGGAAUGUUGGACAUAGUUUGUCUGAAAUAUUUUUAUACAAACAAGACAGUCAGUGAGGUAGAGAGCAUGAGGACACUGAAACAUGUAGCUGUAAAAAGGGGAGGAUCUGUCACUAUUCCAUGUCUUUAUGAUGAGAAGUACAAAGCAAACAUUCAAAGCAAAUUCUGGUGCAAAGGGUACUAUUGGUCUACCUGCAGUAUCGAAGCUUAUGCAAACUCAAGUAGAAAUCCAUCAGUCAUUGAUCAUCCAGAGCAGAAUUUGUUGACGGUGGAACUGAACUCUGUCUCUGAGUCUGGAACGGGUUGGUGUGCUACAGAAAUUGGGGAUAAAUGGCAGCCGGAUGACCGUGAUUAUUUGUACCUGACAGUUAGUCAAAGAUCCUGAUCUGUCAGUGAGGGAGAGCAGAGUGAGAGGUGAGGAAGGAGGCAGCAUCACAGUUCAGUGUCUCUACAGUGCUGCGUAUCAGAAUACACAGAAGCAGUGGUGCAGAUUUAAAGACGGACAAUGCAACAUCAUAU